GUGUAAUCUCUAGUAUUUCGAUAUUCCUGGUUCUUUCUUGACAGUAGGAUAAACAAUGUGCAGUAAGUCACAUAUUUCCAAAAUAUCUGGGGGGGCUAUUACGGUUUCUGAAACGAGGUGAAAAUUACAAAAAACCGUGAUAGCCCCUCUGAGAAGGUGCAAUUGGUGUUGCAAAAGCGAAUUGGUAUUUAAUCAACGAGAUUCAGAGACGGAAGCACAAGCCCAGGAUGAUCCUUCCCGAGAAAGCAGUCUCCGUACUUCGUCUGGAACCAAGAUUCAUAACUCCAGCGAUUAGAACCUGUUCGGAUGCACUCAAAUGCAAAGUUUGUCGUGCCAUGAGAUAUUUUCCUCCUGAACAAUGCAGUAUGGUCAAUGUUAAAGUGAUCGGGUGUUUACUGUUUGUAUGUGAUGGCGACACACUAUAGUUAUACCGGUGAUUCAAGAACAGAUUGGAAUAUUCCAUCUGCGACUUGCUCUCUUUGGCGAAAGGAUAUUUCUUGAUGCAUUUGACUUUAUUUGAUAAUCUAACGAGUUUGUAUGAAAAUGUCUUAGAAGUAUGGGAGAACAUACAGAGGAAUGCCAUUGAAAUGCAUGCAACUCAUAAAAUUAUGCUGAGUCCUGCGGAUAGUUGGUUACAUGUAGACUCAACGCAAUUAGAAACAUAUCUAAACCAAUGGUAGAAAAACGUUAAGGAUAAAGAAUUUUAUCAAGACCUUAUGAUUCUGCAAUAAAAAAUGCAGUCGUUUGUCAAUCAAACCAGCGACGUUAAUGGCGUGCAUUUCUUAGGAGAACAAUCAAUGGAGAACAACAUGCAAGGACAUGGGGAAUGGCGCGCGAAUAGACUUCGACGCGAAUGUAUUCGACAGUACGUUAAGCGGCAUCCUCGACUUGGCAUUCUGGGAGGAAGGGACAAGUACGUAUUGAAAUUUUUAAUUUAUUUUAAUUCAUACACAAUUUUAUAAAUUAUAUGUAUGUAUACGUACAGAGCGAUUCUUAAUUCGUGUCCCAACUUUUUUUGUGUAUAAAUUAAAAUAAAUUAAAAAUUUCAAUACGUACUUGUCCCUUCCUCCCGUUGUCUUUUCUUCUUUUUUGAAAUGGCAAAUGCUUAAUGUAUUUCAACGUGAAUUAACUAAUUAUUUACUAUGUAAUGCCGUUAACUUUGUAAGACGUCGAACGAUAUAGCAACGGAUUGGCUUCAACGCCUGAUUUUAAAUAGCGACCUUAAAAUUCUCGGGGUAAAUGUACGAAACAGUCGGCUAAAAUUAACUAGAAGUCAAUUUUUUAAUUAAAUGGAAGAUUUAUUGAUUAUACAAUUGUAACAAUAGCUCUUUGCAGUAACAAUAUAAUUUUACCUGUAUUACAAAUAGAUUUUUUUGUAUGGUACAAGGUAUUUUGCAUAAUGGGAAUUUUAUUAUGUACAGUUUCAGAUUAAAACAUGGUUAGAAUAAAUCAUGAUUAGUAUAUUUAUC